CAGAGUUCAUGCCCUUACGGGUAGAUCUCCCACCCUAUGUUAUUAUUACUUUGUUGCUUUGGCGGGCCGUUAGGCUCUUGGCCCGACUACCGGCUUCGGCUGAUAAGCGCCCGCCAGAGGACCCCUAAACUCUGAAUAUUUUUGUCGUCUGAGUACUAUAUAAUAGUUA
rnacentral:misc_RNA from 2 species